UGGAUCAAUGGUGAGAGUGCUUGAACAAAGAUCAUGAUUAAUCCACUGAAUGAUCCCAAGGUCCAUA
rnacentral:snoRNA from 1 species